GUAAAGUACUUUCAGCAGUGAGGAAGGCGGAGUCGUUAAUAGCGGCCUCGUUUGACGUUAGCUGCAGAAGAAGCACCGGCUAACUCCGUGCCAGCAGCCGCGGUAAUACGGAGGGUGCGAGCGUUAAUCGGAAUUACUGGGCGUAAAGCGCAUGCAGGUGGUUUGUUAAGUCAGAUGUGAAAGACCCGGGGCGUCAACCUCGGAAUUGCAUUUGUAAACUAGGCAGACUAGAGUACUGUAGAGGGGGGUAGGAAUUUCAGGUGUAGCGGUGAAAUGCGUAGAGAUCUGAAGGAAUACCGGUGGCGAAGGCGGCCCCCUCGGACAGAUACUGACACUCAGAUGCGAAAGCGUGGGGAGCAAACAGGAUUAGAUACCCUGGUAG
rnacentral:rRNA from 1 species